AAGCAGGCAAAGUAACCACCAAAACAAUGUUGUUGAUUUUGUGAAAAUGCGCAGCAGAGAAGAUGAUGAAAAAUUGCAGUGACAUCCUGAUCUCUGUUGCAUCAAGCCUACACGACGUAGCUUUACACCAGCUCUCCAAGUUUCAUGCAGCAGUUUCAGCAGACUCCUCGUACUAGACACCUUCCAAGGGGACUUCAGAUGUGAAAACACAGAGAAGCUUCAGAUUUCAAGUGAGGAACAGUUAGCACAAGGUUGUUCCAUGUGAUGGUAGCAAUAUGAGGUGUUCGGCACUGAUUCCAAAGUGUGGAUCUGAGGAAGAAGGUCUUCAUGGAGUUGCACUUGAAGCUUCAGAGAAAUGCUCAUGCCAGGCCCCAUCAGGAAGGGGACUGUGCCAGUUCAGAAAUGAGUUGUGAUUGUGAUCUGAGAGGCUGCCACUUCACAAUGCUGCAAGUACCUGCCUAACAAAUUAAACUUUCACAAGUCAGUGAAAAGUGGCGCAGGAGUCAACUUUGUGGUACUCAUUGAUGGUACUCAUUUAUGUAAAUACUGCUGUGCUGUACGAGGUCAGAAAUUACUUGGAAGCGAUACAGCGACUUUAUUGGUCACUCAUGAACUCAAAAGCUCAACUGAAGGAGGCAGUCAACUUAAAUUCUUCUGUUGAGCUUUCUUCAAGGCAAGUGUUUGUGUAACAGCAGUGCAUGUUUGCCAUAUGCGUUGUGCCGUGCAGCUGAAGUGAUCUGAGGUUUAGUGACUGUCCAAGAUGUGAAUUUCUUCUUCUCAUUUUAGGACCUAAUCUUCACUGUUCUGACCUAUAGAAACAUAACAUGAAACUAAAACACCUUACAGAAAAAAUUUUAUUUGCAAGGCUAGCACUGACAGAAUUGACAGGUGGAGGUGCGCUACAGUAGCAGCUACCUACACAACUACUUAGAUGUCAGUGACUAAUGCCAUCCAUGUUGCCAUUGCAGGUUUUUCCCACCAAAUGCCUGCAGGUGAGAGUUUUCCUCAAGAGAAACCAAAGAAAUUCAACUGCCUUUUGCUGCUUUCAGAGCCCUGAGUGGGUUCUCCCCCUCCUAGCUCUCCUGGGAUUGGGCUGCCUGGGCUCAGGGCCUUAGUGCAGUUCUCUGGCCUUGAGGCACCUCAGUGGGGGCCUCCCCUCCAAUGCUUGGGAGCCACCUUGAAGCCCCAGCCCUGUCCCAGUCAUGGGCCUCAUUUCCCCAAUCCACCACCCCAACCAUACAUCCUG